rnacentral:rRNA from 1 species
AGCGAACGCUGGCGGCAGGCCUAACACAUGCAAGUCGAACGAACUCUUCGGAGUUAGUGGCGGACGGGUGAGUAACACGUGGGAACGUGCCUUUUGGUGCGGAAUAACUCAGGGAAACUUGUGCUAAUACCGAAUGUGCCCUUCGGGGGAAAGAUUUAUCGCCAUUAGAGCGGCCCGCGUCUGAUUAGCUAGUUGGUUAGGUAACGGCUCACCAAGGCGACGAUCAGUAGCUGGGCUGAGAGGAUGACCAGCCACACUGGGACUGCGACACGGCCCAGACUCCUACGGGAGGCAGCAGUGGGGAAUCUUGCGCAAUGGGCGAAAGCCUGACGCAGCCAUGCCGCGUGAAUGAUGAAGGUCUUAGGAUUGUAAAAUUCUUUCACAGGGGGCGAUAAUGACGGUACCCGGAGAAGAAGCCCCGGCUAACUUCGUG